GGGAAUUUAGCAUAAUGGUUAAUGCACUAAAUCGUCAGUUUAGACUAUGCCCGUUCGAGUCGGGUAGUUCUCG
rnacentral:tRNA from 1 species